AGCCAAUUGAGUGGAGUGGUUUAAGAGUUGGACUAGGACUCUGGAGAUCAGGGUUCGAAUCCCUGCUUGGCCA